UACGUAGGGGGCUAGCGUUGUCCGGAAUCAUUGGGCGUAAAGCGCGUGUAGGCGGUCCGGUAAGUCCGCUGUGAAAGUCGGGGGCUCAACCCUCGGAUGCCGGUGGAUACUGUCGGGCUUGAGUACGGAAGAGGCGAGUGGAAUUCCUGGUGUAGCGGUGAAAUGCGCAGAUAUCAGGAGGAACACCAAUUGCGAAGGCAGCUCGCUGGGACGUUACUGACGCUGAGACGCGAAAGCUAGGGGAGCAAACAGG
rnacentral:rRNA from 1 species